GACGAACGCUGGCGGCGUGCCUAACACAUGCAAGUCGAACGGAGAAGUUCAGCAAUGGAUUUCUUAGUGGCGAACGGGUGAGUAACGCGUAGACAACCUACCUCUCAGAUGGGGACAACAUCGCGAAAGCGGUGCUAAUACCGAAUGAUGUAACUUUUCUGCAUGGAAGAGUUACCAAAGGCGGCCUCUAUUUAUAAGCUGUCACUGAGAGCUGGGUCUGCGCCUGAUUAGCUAGUUGGCGGGGUAAUGGCCCACCAAGGCGACGAUCAGUAGCCGGUCUGAGAGGAUGAACGGCCACAUUGGGACUGAGACACGGCCCAAACUCCUACGGGAGGCAGCAGUGGGGAAUCUUCCGCAAUGGACGAAAGUCUGACGGAGCAACGCCGCGUGAGUGAAGAAGGUUUUCGGAUCGUAAAGCUCUGUUGUUUGAGACGAACGUGCAAUUUUUGAAUAAGGAAUUGUAAUGACGGUAUUAAACGAGAAAGCCACGGCUAACUACGUGCCAGCCGCCGCAGUAA
rnacentral:rRNA from 1 species